rnacentral:lncRNA from 1 species
AUGACAAUGGUUGAAGAUUUAAAAAUCGUCAUGAAGCUUUUUAUUUGUGGCUUAUGUUGUUCGUGGUUGAUUUCAUUUCCUACUCCCACAAUAUGAAGUAGAUUUCAUGUGUCAUGAUUUUGUCUUAAAGUUUAGAGUUUUUAUGAUUAUUGUCACUUGUAUGUAUUUGGGUUUAAUGAUUCAUGUUCUACUCUUGUUUAUGAUAGUAUUUUACUAGACUUUAUGAAUUUUUAACUUGCUAAUCGUUUUC